AGCGAACGCUGGCGGCAUGCCUAACACAUGCAAGUCGAACGAACCCUUCGGGGUUAGUGGCGCACGGGUGCGUAACGCGUGGGAAUCUGCCCUUUGCUUCGGAAUAACAGUUAGAAAUGACUGCUAAUACCGGAUGAUGUCUUCGGACCAAAGAUUUAUCGGCAAAGGAUGAGCCCGCGUAGGAUUAGGUAGUUGGUGGGGUAAAGGCCUACCAAGCCGACGAUCCUUAGCUGGUCUGAGAGGAUGAUCAGCCACACUGGGACUGAGACACGGCCCAUACUCCUACGGGAGGCAGCAGUGGGGAAUAUUGGACAAUGGACGCAAGUCUGAUCCAGCAAUGCCGCGUGAGUGAUGAAGGCCUUAGGGUUGUAAAGCUCUUUUACCAGGGAUGAUAAUGACAGUACCUGGAGAAUAAGCUCCGGCUAACUCCGUGCCAGCCGCCGCAGUAACAC
rnacentral:rRNA from 1 species